rnacentral:rRNA from 1 species
UACGGGGGGGGCAAGCGUUACUCGGAAUUAUUGGGCGUAAAGGGCGCGUAGGCGAUUUGAAAAGUCUUGUGUGAAAGCCCCGAGCUUAACUCGGGAAGUGCACAAGAAACUGUUGAAUUUGAGUUCCGGAGAGGAAGGCAGAAUUCCCGGUGUAGCGGUGAAAUGCGUAGAUAUCGGGAGGAAUACCAGUGGCGAAGGCGGCCUUCUGGACGGAUACUGACGCUGAGGCGCGAAAGCCAGGGGAGCAAACGGG